rnacentral:rRNA from 1 species
UACAGAGGUCUCAAGCGUUGUUCGGAUUCAUUGGGCGUAAAGGGUGCGUAGGCGGCCCUGUAAGUCCGCUGUGAAAGUCAAAGGCUCAACCUUUGAAAGCCGGUGGAUACUGCAGGGCUAGAGUCCGGAAGAGGCGAGUGGAAUUCCUGGUGUAGCGGUGAAAUGCGCAGAUAUCAGGAAGAACACCCGUGGCGAAGGCGGCUCUCUGGGACGGUACUGACGCUGAGACGCGAAAGCGUGGGAGCGAACAGG